rnacentral:rRNA from 1 species
AGUGAACGCUGGCGGUAGGCCUAACACAUGCAAGUCGAACGGCAGCACAGUAAGAGCUUGCUCUUACGGGUGGCGAGUGGCGGACGGGUGAGGAAUACAUCGGAAUCUACUUUUUCGUGGGGGAUAACGUAGGGAAACUUACGCUAAUACCGCAUACUACCUACGGGUGAAAGCAGGGGAUCUUCUGACCUUGCGCGAUUGAAUGAGCCGAUGUCGGAUUAGCUAGUUGGCGGGGUAAAGGCCCACCAAGGCGACGAUCCGUAGCUGGUGUGAGAGGAUGAUCAGCCACACUGGAACUGAGACACGGUCCAGACUCCUCAGGGAGGGAGCAGAGGGGAAUAUUGGACAAUGGGCGCAAGCCUGAUCCAGCCAUACCGCGUGGGUGAAGAAGGCCUUCGGGUUGUAAAGCCCUUUUGUUGGGAAAGAAAAGCAGCAGGUUAAUACCCCGCUGUUCUGACGGUACCCAAAGAAUAAGCACCGGCUAACUUCGUG